rnacentral:rRNA from 1 species
UACGUAGGGUGCAAGCGUUGUCCGGAAUUAUUGGGCGUAAAGGGCUCGUAGGCGGUCCAUCGCGUCGGUAGUGAAAAGCUGGGGCUCAACCCCCAGUCCUGCUUCCGAUACGGGUGGACUAGAGGUAUGCAGGGGAGAACGGAAUUCCUGGUGUUAGCGGUGGAAAUGACGCAGAUAUCAGGGAGGGAAACACCCGGGUGGGCGAAGGCGGUUCUCUGGGCAUUACCUGACGCUGAGGAGCGAAAGCGUGGGGGAGCAAACAGG